rnacentral:rRNA from 2 species
UUUGACCUCAGAUCAAGCAAGACUACCCGCUGAAUUUAAGCAUAUUAAUAAGCGGAGGAAAAGAAACUAACAAGGAUUCCCUCAGUAACGGCGAGUGAAGUGGGAAUGGCUCAAGCUUGAAAUCUCUGUUGCUUGCAACAGCGAAUUGUAGUCUCGAGAAGCGUUUUCCCGGCGGAUCUAUCCUGCCUAAGUUGCUUGGAACAGCACAUCAGAGAGGGUGACAAUCCCGUUUGUGGCAGGGCAGACCGUUCAUGAUACGCUUUCCAUGAGUCGGGUUGCUUGGGAAUGCAGCCCAAAAUUGGUGGUAAACUCCAUCUAAAGCUAAAUAUUGCCACGA